rnacentral:rRNA from 1 species
AGCUAAGUGGGAAACGAUGUGGGAAGGCUUAGACAGCUAGGAUGUUGGCUUAGAAGCAGCCAUCAUUUAAAGAAAGCGUAAUAGCUCACUAGUCGAGUCGGCCUGCGCGGAAGAUGUAACGGGGCUAAGCUAUAAACCGAAGCUGCGGCAAUACCUUUUAGGUAUUGGGUAGGGGAGCGUUCUGUAAGCCGUUGAAGGUGUGUUGUAAAGCAUGCUGGAGGUAUCAGAAGUGCGAAUGCUGACAUGAGUAACGAUAAUGGGGGUGAAAAACCUCCACGCCGGAAGACCAAGGGUUCCUGUCCAACGUUAAUCGGGGCAGGGUAAGUCGACCCCUAAGGCGAGGCCGAAAGGCGUAGUCGAUGGGAAACGGGUUAAUAUUCCCGUACUUCAACUUAUUGCGAUGGGGGGACGGAGAAGGCUAGGUGGGCCUGGCGACGGUUGUCCAGGUUCAAGUGCGUAGGCUUGAGAGUUAGGUAAAUCCGGCUCUCUUUAAGGCUGAGACACGACGUCGAGCGCCCAAGGGCGUGAAGUCAUUGAUGCCAUGCUUCCAGGAAAAGCCUCUAAGCUUCAGAUAAGUUGGAAUCGUACCCCAAACCGACACAGGUGGUCGGGUAGAGAAUACCAAGGCGCUUGAGAGAACUCGGGUGAAGGAACUAGGCAAAAUGGUACCGUAACUUCGGGAGAAGGUACGCUCUUGACGGUGAAGUCCCUUGCGGAUGGAGCUAU